rnacentral:rRNA from 1 species
GUGGGGAAUAUUGGACAAUGGGGGGAACCCUGAUCCAGCCAUGCCGCGUGUGUGAAGAAGGCCUUUUGGUUGUAAGCACUUUAAGCGAGGAGGAGGCUACCGAGAUUAAUACUCUUGGAUAGUGGACGUUACUCGCAGAAUAAGCACCGGCUAACUCUGUGCCAGCAGCCGCGGUAAUACAGAGGGUGCAAGCGUUAAUCGGAUUUACUGGGCGUAAAGCGCGCGUAGGUGGCCAAUUAAGUCAAAUGUGAAAUCCCCGAGCUUAACUUGGGAAGUGCAUUCGAUACUGGUUGGCUAGAGUAUGGGAGAGGAUGGUAGAAUUCCAGGUGUAGCGGUGAAAUGCGUAGAGAUCUGGAGGAAUACCGAUGGCGAAGGCAGCCAUCUGGCCUAAUACUGACACUGAGGUGCGAAAGCAUGGGGAGCAAACAGGAUUAGAUACCCGAGUAGUCC